UUUUUUUUUUUUCAAAGUAAUAUACCCACUACAACAGAAUUAGGUUAUAGGGACACAUGUUUGGGACACUUUUGAGUAAGUGUUUCAUUUAUCCUAAAACUUAAAAAAACAUUUACUAAUGCCUAAAUAUAAAGUCCAAUCCAACCAAAAAUAAAAGAUUACUCUACUCAACCCACCACACCCAGUCCAUUUGGCCCGAUUACAAACAGAAAAGAAAAAAAAAAAUCAAUUACCAUCUUUUCUUCUCUCUUCACUCAAUCCACUGAAAUUCUAGACGAAGAGCCAUUCCUGUCGUCCUCCUCCGCCACCGUAGCCAACGAGAUAGAGUUUCGGCGGUUGCUAAAUGCUUAAAUAAGUGUUGGUAAAUUAGUAGCACUCUUUUAAGUUAUAGCGACACUCUUUAACUGUCACUAUAUACCUAGCGACCCCACAUAUAGCAACACUUUUUAAAAGUGUCGGUAAUUUUAGCUAGCAGCACUUUUUUGAUAUGUACCUACAUUUAAAAGUGUCGCUACAGACUGUUUUUGUUGUAGUGACCAUAUCUAUCUACUAGAAAUUUUAAUGGUUGAUGUGAUGUUUUUGUGAAUUUUACAGUGUAAAAUAAUUCAAAUCUAAUGAAGUUUUUAUAAUUUUUUUUUUCACUAGUUAGAAUAAGAUCAGCACCUCUGAUCUUCAAUUCAAGUCUUUUUUUAUCAUUUUUUAUGAAAUUUUUAUUUUUAGCUGUUCUUUUUUAUACUACUUGUUUUUUUUAGGUAAAUGAUGUCGAAAAAUUAUAAAAUUUAGUUUUCAAAUACUUUUAAUAGUGUAGAUCAAAUUUUAUGGAACCGAUCGUCGAUUUGGAAGUCACAACAUUGAAAGCAACUUGGUAGCACGGAGGUCUCUAUACUACCGAUAGUAUCUCUCUAUAUAUAACCAAUAUAAUAUACCAAUCUAUUUUAGCAAAAUUUUGCAUUUGAUUUUUAUUAUUAGAAAUUGUCAAGCGUGAUAGAAAUAUGCGUCCUAAUUUUUAGUUGGUUGCAUGUGUCAAACAAAUAUUCUUUAAUGUAUCUCAAAUUUCACUGCUUACAAAUAAAAUAUAAAAUUUCUAUCAAACUUUUUACAAUUCUCUCUAAUCUAUUCAAAAAUUUUCAAGUCUACAAAUACAGAUAUUUCCAUGUGAGAUAAUCAAAAUAGAAAGGACUUGUUAGAGUAUUAAUUUAGUACAAAAUAAUUAUUUUUAUUGUAGAACUACCAUGCUUUUGGAAGCAUAAAAGAGUUCGCAGUUUCAACUUUUUAGCCUUUGGAUGAAAAUAGUUGGAAUGAUAGUAGUCCGUCUAGAAAAAUAAUAUUAAUCUAAGAAUUAGAAAUGAUCAGUUGAUCCAAAGUUUAAAAAUUUAAAAGUACCAACUCCUUUAUAUUUUCGGAAGCACUAUAGUCGGACACAUCAUUUUCGAAGAUGAUAAAUUGUCAAAUAGAGCUUCCAAAAUACCUAGUACAAAAUAUUUACUUCUACAAGCUUAAUCGAAACAACUAGAAACUAUAAUAUAUAAAAAGGGAUAAUUGUCUAUAUACCUCUCAUAUGUUCGAAAAUAUACAAUUUACCUCUACUUUUUUUUUUUUUUUCUAAAAUACUCCUCAUAUGUUCCAUCAUUAUUACAAAAUACUCCCGCAAUAUCCCUGUUAAGUUAACUUCAGUUAAACGUGAGUUAAAUAUCUACCACAGUUAAAAAAAAAUAAAAUACCAAUCUUGCCCUUAACUUAAGAGCAAAUAAGAAAUGUUGGUGAUGGUAGAGGGGUAUAUUGAAAAAGACCAAAAGUCAAAAUACUUUUUGUGCCCCUGACUUUAAGAGCAAAUAAGAAAGUCAGUAAUGGUGGAAGGGUACGUAUAUUUGCAAGGGCAAAAUGGUAAUUUUACAGAGAUAACAGAGUUAAUUAAUAGAUUUUAACUCUAUGGGUAUAUUAGAAAUAUGUUGGAACGUAGAAAGGGUAUUUUCAAUAUUAGCCUUCUAAGAGGGGUGAAUCGGAAAGUCAGGAACUUUUCGGGGUAUAUAACUAAUAGCCCCAUAUAAAAAACACUUAAAUAAAAAUAUUUUGUCCAGUGAUCUUAAUCGAUUAUCGCAUUUUGAUAGUUAUAAAUUUUUUAUAAUUUUGAGACUAAUGAUUUUUUACAAGUUUUCAACUGAAUAGCUUUGACUCUUAAAAAAGCACAAGUGAGAUUACAAUAUCAAUAAGCAGUUAAUUACAAUUAAGCUGUUACUGCUUUAUUUGGUUAAACUGGCUUUUUUUUCUUAAUCAGAUAUAAGUUGUAAACUAGAAAUUCUUAGAGUGGAGUUAAAAUAUAAGAAAUUAAAAAAACUAUUUAUUCUAUCCACUUAGCAUACAUGACUAUAUUAAUACAUAAAAUUUUAGUGUGCAAAAAAUAAACAUCUUAAUAAAUAAUGAUCCACAAGAUUCUAGUUUGAUUCGGAGUUGGCCACAAAAUUGUGCAAAUUAUAUGAUCAAUUAAUUUUUCAGAGCAAAAACUGGGUGAAUGUGUUACGUUUUUGUUGAAAACAAUACGGUUUUUCAUGGAUAUUUGUUUAUAGAGAGUUUUAUAGCUUAGAAAUUGAAUUUUAGAGUUCAAAAAUGUUCUAUUUGACGGAAUAGCAGUUAUAACUUUUGUUAUCUCCUGUUUUAUUUUUUGCUUUAUCUUAAUAUAUUUUAUAGAUAUAAUUAAUUAUAUUUUAGUCGAGAAACCAAUUUGAUGCUCAAAAUAUUCAUCUUUAAAAAGGUUCUAUUAAACUUGAUAAAUCCAAAAAAGAAAAUUAAAAUUUUUGCCUUUUAUAUUUCUAAAGAAGUAUAUAAACAAAAAAUUUUGAAACUUAAAUGCAUUAAUAACAAUACAAAUUAUAUUUGGUUAAUAUAUAUAAAAAGCGCAUAUUUAUUAACUUUUUAUUUAUUUAAAACUUCGUUUGGUUCGGGUAUUUCUAUUAGAGGGAUAGAUACAAGUUUAGAUAUAAGGAAAAACUAGAUCAAUCUUAGGAUCAGAUGAAAAUUGGUUGUUCUAGAAAUAAAAAAAAAAUAGCGUUUAGAUAGAUAAGAUGAAAUAAGAAGAAUAGUGAGUAGUUAUAAAUAAAAAAUUAUUAUUAUCCCUCUCAUUAUAUUUGAAUUUAAAAUUUAAAAUUUAAAAUUUAUAUUUUUAAAUUUAAAGUUUUAACUUUUAAAUUUUAAAAUAUAAAAUUAAAAUUUAAUAUUAAAAUCUCAAAUUUCAAAAUUUAAAUUUAAGAUCAAUUUUAAAUUUAAAAAAUAUAAAAUAUCAAAUUAAAAUUUAAAAUUUAAAAUUAUAAACUUUAAUUUGAAAAUUACAAAUCAUAAAUUUUUAAAAUUUAAAAUUAAAAUUAAAAUUUUUUAAUUUUAUUUUUUUAAAAAAAAUAGAGGUGGGAACAGCUUGUUCCAUCCUUAUUCCACCUAAGGGUGGGAACAGCUUGACAAUUAUAUGACUCUUCCAUCCUUGGCAUUAUUGUUUGCUAACAACCUUGGCAUUAUUGUUUGCUAACAAUAUACUGUUGAGGAUGGGAACAAUCUGUUCCCACCCUUAGUUUUAGCGUUUGGAGAAUAAGAAAGUAACCCUUUAUCCCCAUCCUUAUUCUCCAACCAAACAGGACUAAUGUGUAGAGUUCUCGCUAAUGUGUAGAGGUGGCCGUUGAUGCGGCUGAUUGUCCUAGCUGGCGGUAAUCCAAUCGCACUGAAUUGUUGGAAAUAAUUUUAGUUUUCUCCAAUAUCACAUUAAGUUUUAUAAUUAUGGUACGAUGGAUUGAUGGGAAAAUAAUUGCUAUAAUUGCUUUUAGGUGAUCAGAAAUUUUUUUUUUCUUUCAUACCUUCUCAUUUUUUACUACUAUGUCAAACUUACUUUAUAGAUGGUAUUAUGAGGUUAAACCAUACUAUAUACAUGACACCAAUAAAAUUUGCAUGCUUCUUACAAGCCAGCCGCAUGAUAAGCAUUAGCUUUUUAAGCCAAUACAUAUAAAAUAAUCUUCAGAUUUAAUUAACUGAAAUAGAUUUGGGGACCUUUUUUUUUUGUAAAAAAAUUCUGGUAAAAAAUGACCACUGCAUGUUGAUUGAAAAUGCAAACUUGAUUGCCAUGAUUGCCUCCUACAUUUAAAUCAUUUAUCUCUCUACAUGGGAAAAAAUAGUGAUUUUCAAUUUAGAUACUACAUCAAAUUAAAACUAGCUAGUUUAUUAAACACGUAAUAGUGAAAUACAUUUAAAUCAAUUAUUCACUCGCAGAUAAAAAAAAAAAAGAAAAAAAAAAGAGAAACUUAUUCUAUUGUUCUAGCUUAGGGAAAACUAUUCGAAGUUGUUGAAGAAAAUGCAAAGGCAUAUAUGUUUAUACUCUAGUGACAGUUGCACCGUAAUUUAUUAAAAGUCUUUUUAUGCUUUUUGGACUUUUCAAAAUAUAAAGUUGGAUGUUUUUAAAAAUGCAUUACCAAACUAGCUAGGCCCUAAUGUGCUAAUUGAUUAGUUAGUGUGAGCUCAAAUUAAUUCAUUAUAAUCAAGUUUAAGUUCAUCUUGCAAGAGAUCAUAAGGUGCACACUAUUUUUAUGUUUGAUCACUCCCUAAGUAUGAUUUCACAUCAAAAUCAAGCUAUCAAAUAAUUUUUUAUUUUUUUUUGAGAGAUAGAUAGCAUGUUACUGUUUCGUUUAUUUCACUUAGAAAUAAACUUAGCUAGAAAUGUGAAUCAACUAGGAUUCGAACUUGAAACCUCGGGUACCAAGCACCAAGCCCUUUGCCACUUGCUCUAGGGAUGGUCGGUCAAGCUAUCAAAUAAUUACAAUUAAUAAACAGUCAAAACACCUCCACUCAAUCGCUUUAGUACUAAUACUUUUCACUCAAACAAUUAAAAGUUGUAUGUGAUAUUGGAAAAAACUAAAUUAUGAUUAUGACCAUCAAACAUCAAAACCUUGAUCGAAAUAGAGUUUCAAAAAUUAGAAAACCGAAUUCUAGACUAAUUCAAACACAGGGAGCCCACUUUGGAACGCCCGAAAAGUCAUGCUGGUGCCCUGAUGCUAUUUUGAACCCUCUCUGCGGAUGCCCAAAAAAGAUUCAGACUCCUUACUAGAAAGUGGUUCUGCUAGAUGGUGGAUUUGGAUUCCCGAAGUGUCUUGCAGAUGCUUGAAUUGCAUUUUGGACGAUCCACUGUGGGCGGUUGAAGUCACUUUCGGACACUCAACCCGAGAGCACCCCUUGCGAGAGAUGCCGACCUUUCGGAUGCUCGAAUCAUCCUAUGGGUGCCCGAAAUAAGGAGCGGGUGGAAUUAGUAGUUGACCAGUCCCUCGAUUGGGUGCGUAGCUACGUAAAACUAGAAGCCUCAAAAAUCGGACGGGCGCCUUAAACCCAGCACAAUAGAAUUUUUGAGGGGUUUAGUUUGCUAUUAUUGCAUGUGAGAGCCAAGAUUUUUUCCAAUGUAAAUUUGACAUCUUUUAAGUGUUAUCAUGUGUACUUUAAUUUUAAAUUUGCCCGUCAAAUUUCAGCGAAAAAUGCUUUAAAAUAAAAAGUUUACGUGAUUAUUACUUUUCACUUAAAGUGAAUAGUAACUUGUGUUUUCUUUUGAGGCAUCACGUCGAGGAUGGCUUCGGACAUGAAUUGGACUGCGUUUUGGACGAUCCAAUAGGUCGUGUUCGAUGGUUUAGCUAUUUCGGAGGUGAUGGCACUGUUUGAUUUUAUGUUUGAUGCAUGAUUUUCGAAAAAAUUAGUUUUUAUCACAGAUUGACCUUUUUCUACUCGAUGCUCUUGCUUUUUUAAGGUGUUCGGUGUUCCGUUUAACACGAAAACCCAUGGGUCGGUGCCACUGGGUAUAUUACACGGUGAGUUUUUGAAACAAAACUCAAGGAUUUGAGUGCUAAAUUACUAUUUUUACAAAGUGUCAAAAUUAAGCACUUUACAAAAAGCUUAUCAUUUUAUGUGAGAAAUUUCACAGUAUUGGUGAGUGGAAGGUUUUAUAUAAAAGGAGACUCAGAGAGAAUUUUAUGUCUCAAAUUUUACGAAAUUCGGGUUUACCAUGCAGAAUGGUGUUGCUUUGUUCUUGUGAGGGAGAUUUGUGAUAAUGUAGCUUUUUGGACUUAAACGCGAUUUUGGACGUAUCUAAGUGCACAAGAUUGUUUGGAGAGGGGCUAUGAUAAAAUUCUCUUAUGUCGGAAAGGGCUGGGUGCAGAAUUUUGAGGUUCUAGGAGGACUUAUGUGCAAAUCCUCCAAAUACAAUUUGUAUAGAUGUAUAUGUAUAUAUAUUUGGUAUUUACAGAGAGAAUGAGGGAAACCCUAACCCUAGCCCCUACACCCUUAGCCGCCACCUCCCUAUCCCUGCCACCUCCCUGUCCCUGCCGGUGCGCCGCCUGUCGUCGGUGAUCCUCCUCGGCCAGGUUACUCUCUUUCUCUUUCUCUCUCUCAUAGCCAUUGUUGGAGAGGAGGCCCAAGCUCGCUUCCCCUGAACCACUGCUACUCUAGCGCCGUUGCCGUCGCCACCCAAGCGCCGUUGUCGCUGCCACUUGAGACUUCGGCGACCUUCCCUGAGUCGCGACCUUCGUUGCUGCGCGCUAGGAGAAGCUACUGCCAGAGAUGGUGCCUUGGGAGCCUGUGCAGCUGAGGAGCUCCACCCGACCGCCCCCAGGGCGGACUCCCGGCACCAUCGGACGACCUUCCCAAAUCGCCGGAGAGGCCGUGCGCGCGUGCCCUAGCCGCGGCCAGAUCUUGAGCCGCAGCGUCAUAACCGCGCUGCUACAGUCUUCCGCCGCCGGCCAUGAGUGCCGACCAUCUCCCCUGUGUACGGUGACCUCCCCCUGGCUGGAGCUCGUCUCCUCGCGCCGUUCUGGUCGCCGCCGUAGCUAAGGAGAGCCACCUGAGCCCGACUCUUAUGCUGCUGGCCGAACCUUCUCCCAACUCCACCGCCGCUUCCCACCACCGGCUCGGGGAAGCAUGGAGUCCCCUUUGACCUCCGCACCCAGCCUCCACCUACGGUUGAGCCGCCGCGUCGCUGGCGGCCGGCCGGAGCAAGGUUGCUCCCUGCCAGUCCGGCGUGGGGCAUUUUGGGCUUUCUUUCAUUGUUCCGGCGAUCUGAGGGGUCCCCGAUCUUCCGGAUAGUGAGAACGGUUACCCCAAGCCCUCAUUGAUCAACAUCACCUCAGAUCUUGCCGUAAGAAGAGUGAAGGAGAGGGUAAAAUAGAGUUUUAGAGCUUUAUGGUUGGUAAAGGGAGUUAUAUAGAUGAGUUACAUGGCUAAUAAACCCUCUAUAAUAUCAUAUUUCCAUUCUCAACUCAUUCUCCUAAACUACGCAGGGUCCGGAUUGUCUCUGCAUGGUUCGGAUCCCACGUGUUCGAGCUGCGUGACCAAAGUUGAAAUCCUCCGGUUAAGGUCCGGAUUUAGAACGUUGAUUUUAUUCAUUUUGUGGCAAAGAUCCGGAUCCUCCCUCUAGGGUCCGGACUUUGAUAUUUGGAGCCUUCUCACAGUAACAUUAGGGUCCGUCUGAUGGCCCAACAUCAACUUGUCUCGAAAUUUUUGUUUUCCUUCCGUGGAGCCCUAAAUCGAGUUCAAUUAUUCUGAGACCCCCAAAAUCCAUCACAAACAGUAUCACAUUUGUUUCAUUACCUUGCUUCUCACAAUUCGGUCAAAGUUUAGUCUAUUAUAUUGAAAUUUAAUAUAUUACAUUUAGUUUUCUCCAAUAUCACAUUAUAUUUUAUAAUUAUAGUAAGACACAUUGAUGGGAGAAGAAUAGUUUUAGGUGAUCAAUAAUUUUAUUUUUCUUUCAUACCUUCUCAUUUUUAUUUCUUUGUCAAAUUUAAUUUAUAGAUGGUAUUGUAAGGUUAAACCAUACUUUAUACAUGAGACCAAUAAAAUUUGCAUGCUUCCUACAAGCCAGCUGCAUGAUAAGCAUUAACUUUUAAGCCAAUAAAUUUAAAAUAGCCUUAAGAUUUAAUUAGUUGAAAUAGAUUUGGGUUUUGACUUACUAUUAUUUUUUUAAAAAAAUCUGCUACAAAAUGAACACUGCAUGUUGAUAGAAAAUGCAAACUUGAUUAUUGUAAUUGCCUUCUACAUUUAAACCAUUUAGUUCUGCAUUAAAAAAAAAAAAAAGUGAUUUCCAAUCCAGAGACACUACAACAGAAUUAGGUUAUAGGGACACAUGUUUGGGACACUUUUGAGUAAGUGUCCCAUUUAUGCUAAAUCUUAAAAAUAUAUCUAUUAAUGCCUAAAUAUAAAGCCCAAUCCAACCAAAAAUAAAAGAUUACUCUACUCAACCCACCACACCCAGUCCAUUUGGCCCGAUUACAAAUAGAAAAGAAAAAAAAAAGAAAAAUCAAUUACCAUCUUUUCUUCUAUCUUCACUCAAUCCACUGAAAUUCUAGACGAAGAGCCUUUACUGUUGUCCUUCUCCACCACCGCAGCCAACGAGAUAGAGUUUCGGCGGUUGCUAAAUACUUAAAUAAGUGUUGGUAAAUUAGCAACACUAUUUUAGGUUAUAACGACACUCUUUAACUGUCACUAUAUACCUAGCGACCCCACAUAUAGCAACACUUUUUAAAAGUGUCGGUAAUUUUAGCUAGCAGCACUUUUUUAACAUAUACCUACAUUUAAAAGUGUUGCUAUAGACCGUUUUUGUUGUAGUGAGAUACUGCAUUAAACACUAGCUGGUUUAUUAAACACGU
rnacentral:lncRNA from 1 species